rnacentral:rRNA from 1 species
GUACCCUACGGGACGCAGCAGUGAGGAAUAUUGGUCAAUGGUCGGGAGACUGAACCAGCCAAGCCGCGUGAGGGAGGAAGGUACAGAGUAUCGUAAACCUCUUUUGUCAGGGAACAAAGGCGGGGACGUGUCCCCGGAUGAGUGUACCUGAAGAAAAAGCAUCGGCUAACUCCGUGCCAGCAGCCGCGGUAAUACGGAGGAUGCGAGCGUUAUCCGGAUUUAUUGGGUUUAAAGGGUGCGCAGGCGGGAGAUCAAGUCAGCGGGAAAAUGUCGGGGCUCAACCCCGGCCGGCCGGUGAAACUGGG